rnacentral:rRNA from 1 species
AUGGAGCCGACCUUGAAAUACCACCCUUUAAUGUUUGAUGUUCUAACGUUGACCCGUAAUCCGGGUUGCGGACAGUGUCUGGUGGGUAGUUUGACUGGGGCGGUCUCCUCCUAAAGAGUAACGGAGGAGCACGAAGGUUGGCUAAUCCUGGUCGGACAUCAGGAGGUUAGUGCAAUGGCAUAAGCCAGCUUGACUGCGAGCGUGACGGCGCGAGCAGGUGCGAAAGCAGGUCAUAGUGAUCCGGUGGUUCUGAAUGGAAGGGCCAUCGCUCAACGGAUAAAAGGUACUCCGGGGAUAACAGGCUGAUACCGCCCAAGAGUUCAUAUCGACGGCGGUGUUUGGCACCUCGAUGUCGGCUCAUCACAUCCUGGGGCUGAAGUAGGUCCCAAGGGUAUGGCUGUUCGCCAUUUAAAGUGGUACGCGAGCUGGGUUUAGAACGUCGUGAGACAGUUCGGUCCCUAUCUGCCGUGGGCGCUGGAGAACUGAGGGGGGCUGCUCCUAGUACGAGAGGACCGGAGUGGACGCAUCACUGGUGUUCGGGUUGUCAUGCCAAUGGCACUGCCCGGUAGCUAAAUGCGGAAGAGAUAAGUGCUGAAAGCAUCUAAGCACGAAACUUGCCCCGAGAUGAGUUCUC